UGGAUAUAACAAUUAAAAUGGAGAAUUCACUUCCAGAAAUUCCAAAAUGUCACAAAUUCUGCAGUGAUUUUCACUACCAUCAAAGUGGUUCCCCCUAAAGCGACGUGUGCCUGUCUACAUGGACAACGGGCCAUCAUUCAUGGCCUAUGUGAAAUGCAGGCAUUAUCCUGGCAGGAAGCUGAGCAGGUGUUCCUCAGUGGCACUCUAGUGAAGUCGAGGAAUUUGACAGAGCAGUUUCCAAAAGACAGAAAAAGAAGGAAAAAAUCACCUACCAGAAACUAAUUAUUUUACCUUAUGCAUUUACAAUAUUUUACAUUUAUUCAUUUAGCAGACGCUUUUAUCCAAAGUGACUUAUAAAUAAGGAGUUCUUUUUAAUGCAAUUGAAGAUGAAAAGUAAAGUCACUAACACAAUUCUUUCUUCCUUUUUUCUUUGCUUUCUCCUGUUUACAGCAAGAUGGUGUUUAGGUGUUUGUUCAAUAAAGUACAGAAUUGUUUAUUAUUGGUGUUUUGUCUAUUCUUAUUUAA